rnacentral:rRNA from 1 species
UAAGGAAUAUUGGUCAAUGGACGAAAGUCUGAACCAGCCAUGCCGCGUGCAGGAUUAAGGCCCUAUGGGUCGUAAACUGCUUUUAUACGGGACAAAACCCCUCUACGUGUAGAGGGCUGAUGGUACUGUAAGAAUAAGGAUCGGCUAACUUCGUGCCAGCAGCCGCGGUAAUACGAAGGAUUCGAGCGUUAUCCGGAUUUAUUGGGUUUAAAGGGUGCGUAGGCGGACUGAUAAGUCAGUGGUGAAAUCCUGUUGCUUAACAACAGAACUGCCAUUGAUACUGCCAGUCUUGAGUACAGUUGAGGUAGGCGGAAUGUGUCAUGUAGUGGUGAAAUACUUAGAUAUGACACAGAACACCGAUUGCGAAGGCAGCUUGCUAAACUGUAACUGACGCUGAGGCACGAAAGCAUGGGGAGCAAACAGG